GAUCUGCGAAAUUCCUUGUCGGGUAAGUUCCGACCCGCACGAAAGGCGUAACGAUUUGGGCACUGUCUCAACGAGAGACUCGGUGAAAUCAUAGUACCUGUGAAGAUGCAGGUUACCCGCGACAGGACGGAAAGACCCCGUGGAGCUUUACUGUAGCCUGAUAUUGAAAUUCGGCACAGCUUGUACAGGAUAGGUAGGAGCCUUUGAAACGUGAGCGCUAGCUUACGUGGAGGCGUUGGUGGGAUACUACCCUAGCUGUGUUGGCUUUCUAACCCGCACCACUUAUCGUGGUGGGAGACAGUGUCAGGCGGGCAGUUUGACUGGGGCGGUCGCCUCCUAAAAGGUAACGGAGGCGCUCAAAGGUUCCCUCAGAAUGGUUGGAAAUCAUUCAUAGAGUGUAAAGGCAUAAGGGAGCUUGACUGCGAGACCUACAAGUCGAGCAGGGUCGAAAGACGGACUUAGUGAUCCGGUGGUUCCGCAUGGAAGGGCCAUCGCUCAACGGAUAAAAGCUACCCCGGGGAUAACAGGCUUAUCUCCCCCAAGAGUCCACAUCGACGGGGAGGUUUGGCACCUCGAUGUCGGCUCAUCACAUCCUGGGGCUGAAGCAGGUCCCAAGGGUUUGGCUGUUCGCCAAUUAAAGUGGUACGCGAGCUGGGUUUAAAACGUCGUGAGACAGUUUGGUCCCUAUCUGCCGUGGGCGCAGGAGAUUUGAGAGGAUCUGUCCUUAGUACGAGAGGACCGGGAUGGACGAACCACUGGUGUUCCAGUUGUCUCGCCAGAGGCAAUGGCUGGGUAGCUACGUUCGGAAAGGAUAACCGCUGAAAGCAUCUAAGCGGGAAGCCCCCCUCAAGAUUAGUUCUCACUGGAACUUUAAGUUCCCUAAAGGACCCUCGAAGACUACGAGGUUGAUAGGCAAGGUGUGUAAGCGCUGUGAGGCGUUGAGCUAACUUGUACUAAUUAGAUCGGAAGAGCACACGU
rnacentral:rRNA from 1 species